UACAGAGGGUGCAAGCGUUGCUCGGAAUCAUUGGGCGUAAAGGGUAGGUAGGUGGUCUCAUUUGUCUGGGGUGAAAGCCCAGGGCUUAACCCUGGAAGUGCCCCGGAAACGGUGAGACUGGAGUACUGGAGAGGGUCGUGGAAUUCCCGGUGUAGCGGUGAAAUGCGUAGAGAUCGGGAGGAGCACCAGAGGCGAAGGCGGCGACCUGGACAGUGAACUGACACUCAACUACGAAAGCGUGGGGAGC
rnacentral:rRNA from 1 species